rfam:Trichobilharzia regenti genome assembly, scaffold: TRE_scaffold0001385
AUCCACCAAUGACGAGUCCCAAAUAGGACGAAAUGCGCAUCCUGGAU